CUGUGCUAGGCGGGGAGCUAGCGGUGCCCUGUACCUGCAAUCCGCUAUAGCAGGGCCGAAUUCCCGCCCGAGGUUUCACCGCCGGAGUGCGAAAGACCCGAGCCGGCGUUGACAGCCCAAGUCCCUCGCAAUGGGGAGGUGCUGAACCCCGUCAGGACCGGGAGGUAGCAGCGGUAGGCACUGCAACCAUGUGCCGAGGGGGCGCUUGGCUGGAGCCGGUGCCGGGCCCUUCCGCUCCGAUACGGGAAAUCGACGGCGGGUGCACAG
rnacentral:SRP_RNA from 1 species